rnacentral:rRNA from 1 species
UACGUAGGCAGCAAGCGUUGUUCGGAGUUACUGGGCGUAAAGCGCGCGUAGGCGGACCUUUAAGUGGAGGGUGAAAUCUCAGGGCUCAACCCUGAAACUGCCUUCCAAACUGGAGGUCUUGAGGUAUGGAGAGGGAAGUGGAAUUCCUGGUGUAGCGGUGAAAUGCGCAGAUAUCAGGAGGAACACCGGUGGCGAAGGCGGUUCUCUGGGCAUUACCUGACGCUGAGGAGCGAAAGUGUGGGGAGCGAACAGG